UACGAAGGGGGCGAGCGUUGUUCGGAAUUACUGGGCGUAAAGGGCGCGUAGGCGGCGACUCAAGUUAGAUGUGAAAGUCCUGGGCUUAACCUGGGGACUGCAUUUGAUACUGGGUUGCUUGAACUCGGGAGAGGAUAGCGGAAUUCCCAGUGUAGAGGUGAAAUUCGUAGAUAUUGGGAAGAACACCGGUGGCGAAGGCGGCUAUCUGGACCGACAUUGACGCUGAGGCGCGAAAGCGUGGGGAGCAAACAGG
rnacentral:rRNA from 1 species